rnacentral:lncRNA from 1 species
UUAAAAUAAACAACGAGAGUAGGAAAAUGAAGAUUAAGAGACUGUCAAGAUAUUCUUACACCAGCUGGGUCUUUCUUUUCAGCUGGGUUACUGUAAAUCUCCAGCUUUCUUUUUCGUGUAAGCUUUCUUUUUUGUAUUGUCUCCCUGUCGCCCCGAUGCUUUCCAUCUGUCCUGAAAUGCGACUCCAACCUCGACCACGAAUCNNN